CACGUAGGGGCUAAGCGUUGUCCGGAUUUAUUGGGCGUAAAGGGCGCGUAGGCGGUCAGCACAAGUCAGUUGUGAAAUCUCCGGGCUUAACUCGGAAAGGUCAACUGAUACUGUGCGACUAGAGUGCGGAAGGGGCAACUGGAAUUCUCGGUGUAGCGGUGAAAUGCGUAGAUAUCGAGAGGAACACCUGCGGCGAAGGCGGGUUGCUGGGCCGACACUGACGCUGAUGCGCGAAAGCCAGGGGAGCGAACGGG
rnacentral:rRNA from 1 species